rnacentral:rRNA from 1 species
UGCAAGUCGAGCGGGGAAGGGUAGCUUGCUACCUGACCUAGCGGCGGACGGGUGAGUAAUGCUUAGGAAUCUGCCUAUUAGUGGGGGACAACAUUCCGAAAGGAAUGCUAAUACCGCAUACGCCCUACGGGGGAAAGCAGGGGAUCUUCGGACCUUGCGCUAAUAGAUGAGCCUAAGUCAGAUUAGCUAGUUGGUGGGGUAAAGGCCUACCAAGGCGACGAUCUGUAGCGGGUCUGAGAGGAUGAUCCGCCACACUGGGACUGAGACACGGCCCAGACUCCUACGGGAGGCAGCAGUGGGGAAUAUUGGACAAUGGGCGAAAGCCUGAUCCAGCCAUGCCGCGUGUGUGAAGAAGGCCUUUUGGUUGUAAAGCACUUUAAGCGAGGAGGAGGCUACUUGGAUUAAUACUCUAGGAUAGUGGACGUUACUCGCAGAAUAAGCACCGGCUAACUCUGUGCCAGCAGCCGCGGUAAUACAGAGGGUGCGAGCGUUAAUCGGAUUUACUGGGCGUAAAGCGUGCGUAGGCGGCUUUUUAAGUCGGAUGUGAAAUCCCUGAGCUUAACUUAGGAAUUGCAUUCGAUACUGGGAAGCUAGAGUAUGGGAGAGGAUGGUAGAAUUCCAGGUGUAGCGGUGAAAUGCGUAGAGAUCUGGAGGAAUACCGAUGGCGAAGGCAGCCAUCUGGCCUAAUACUGACGCUGAGGUACGAAAGCAUGGGGAGCAAACAGGAUUAGAUACCCUGGUAGUCCAUGCCGUAAACGAUGUCUACUAGCCGUUGGGGCCUUUGAGGCUUUAGUGGCGCAGCUAACGCGAUAAGUAGACCGCCUGGGGAGUACGGUCGCAAGACUAAAACUCAAAUGAAUUGACGGGGGCCCGCACAAGCGGUGGAGCAUGU